rnacentral:rRNA from 1 species
UUGACGGGACCCGCACAAGCGGUGGAUGAUGUGGAUUAAUUCGAUGCAACGCGAAAAACCUUACCUACCCUUGACAUGUCCGGAAUCCCGAAGAGAUUUUGGGAGUGCUCGCAAGAGAGCCGGAACACAGGUGCUGCAUGGCUGUCGUCAGCUCGUGUCGUGAGAUGUUGGGUUAAGUCCCGCAACGAGCGCAACCCUUGUCAUUAGUUGCCAUCAUUUGGUUGGGCACUCUAAUGAGACUGCCGGUGACAAACCGGAGGAAGGUGGGGAUGACGUCAAGUCCUCAUGGCCCUUAUGGGUAGGGCUUCACACGUCAUACAAUGGUCGGUACAGAGGGUUGCCAACCCGCGAGGGGGAGCUAAUCCCACAAAGCCGAUCGUAGUCCGGAUCGCAGUCUGCAACUCGACUGCGUGAAGUCGGAAUCGCUAGUAAUCGUGGAUCAGCAUGUCACGGUGAAUACGUUCCCGGGUCUU